rnacentral:misc_RNA from 1 species
UCCGGUUUGUCACCGGCAGUCUCAUUAGAGUUCCCACCUUAAAUGUUGGCAACUAAUGAUAAGGGUUGCGCUCGUUGCGGGACUUAACCCAACACCUCACGGCACGAGCUGACGACAGCCAUGCAGCACCUGUGCAGAUGUCCCGAAGGAAGACUCUAUUUCUAGAGCUGUCAUCUGCAUGUCAAGUCUGGGUAAGGUUCUUCGCGUUGCAUCGAAUUAAACCACAUGCUCCACUGCUUGUGCGGGUCCCCGUCAAUUCUUUUGAGUUUCACCCUUGCGAGUGUACUCCCCAGGCGGUAUACUUAACGCGUUAGCUUCGGCACAACUAGGGUUGAGUCCAGUUACACCAAGUAUACAUAGUUUACGGCAAGGACUAC